GAUGAACGCUGGCGGCGUGCCUAAUACAUGCAAGUCGAGCGCACGGACGCGACGCUUGCUUCUCUGAUGUUAGCGGCGGACGGGUGAGUAACACGUGGAUAACCUACCUAUCAGACUGGGAUAACUUCGGGAAACCGGAGCUAAUACCGGAUAAUAUUUUGAACCGCAUGGUUCAAAAGUGAAAGACGGUCUUGCUGUCACUUAUAGAUGGAUCCGCGCUGCAUUAGCUAGUUGGUAAGGUAACGGCUUACCAAGGCAACGAUGCAUAGCCGACCUGAGAGGGUGAUAGGCCACACUGGAACUGAGACACGGUCCAGACUCCUACGGGAGGCAGCAGUAGGGAAUCUUCCGCAAUGGGAGAAAGCCUGACGGAGCGACGCCGCGUGAGUGAUGAAGGUCUGCGGAUCGUAAAACUCUGUUACUAGGGAAGAAAAUAUGUGGAAGUAACUGUGCACAUCUUGACGGUACCUAAUCAGAAAGCCACGGCUAACUACGUG
rnacentral:rRNA from 1 species